GGGCGUGUGGCUCAGUUGGUAGAGCGUUCGCUUAGCAAGUCUUUGACCUGCGAAAGGUCCUGGGUUCGAUUCCCAGCCCGUCCA